AAGAGUUUGUGCCCCAGUGCCAAACUGUCAGUUGAAUGUUCUACUGCAAAGUUUUGAAGUGUUUGAGGGAGGACAUUCAGCAAAAGCAACAGGAUCUGUGGAGCGUGAAGAAUUGGAUUCUUUACAAAGACAAUGUACCCUGUCACCAACUCAUGAGUUUCGUACCAAAAGCAACAUGGUAUCGCCUCUGCACCCACCCUAUUUGCCAGAUUUAGCACCUGUGGACUUCCAUUUCUUCCCCAAGAUAAAAAUGCAAUUCCACGGUCACUGUUCUCGAGAUCCAGAGCUGUUCUCAAGAACACCAUUCUCGAGAUCCAGAGCAAAUUGCAGAAGGACCUUGGCUUGCUUACGAAUAACAGAACACUGCGACUGGUGUAUUGCUGUACAAGGUGACUAUUUUAAAGGAGAUGAUGUUAAAAUUUAGCUUGGAAAUCUUGAAAAGAAAUGGCAACAGCUUGAACAGAACAACCACACCUUGAAAGAAUAUAUUGGCAGCAAGACAGCAGAGUGUGACUAUGAACCCAUCAAGACGCAGGUGUUCUUCCUUGUGGAUAAAUACAACAGUCAACUACAACAGUUGCUGUCAAACACUGGCAUGUGAAAUAAAAUUUAUUAUCAUUGA
rnacentral:lncRNA from 1 species